rnacentral:rRNA from 1 species
UACGUAGGUGGCAAGCGUUAUCCGGAAUUAUUGGGCGUAAAGCGCACGUAGGCGGACUCUUAAGUCGGUGGUGAAAUCCUGGAGCUCAACUCCAGAACUGCCUUCGAUACUGGGAGUCUCGAGUUCGGGAGAGGUGAGUGGAACUGCGAGUGUAGAGGUGAAAUUCGUAGAUAUUCGCAAGAACACCAGUGGCGAAGGCGGCUCACUGGCCCGAUACUGACGCUGAGGUGCGAAAGCCAGGGGAGCAAACGGG